CUGGGGAGAAAUGCCAAAUAUGGGUGAAGGGGAGAAAGGAAGCAAAACACACUGCCAUGUGUGUACCUACGCAACUGUCUUGCAUGCUCGGCUCAUGUACCCCAAAACCUAAAAUGCAAUAAAAAAAAUUAAAAAAAGAAAUAUUUAAGAGUUGACCAAGGACAGUAAACUAGGGAGACACAGAGCCAGAUAAUGACCCAGAUUGUGAAUCCACUGCCCUUAUAGUCAUUACACUUAUUUGUAAUGUUAAAAAACAUGCUAAGUGAAUGAAACUAAAUAGGCUUUCAGCAUUUAGCUUGCUGUACAUAUCAGGUGUAUCCUACAUAAGUUCUAUGUGUUAUAACCAAUUACCAAAUUAUAACUUACAUAUUGUUAGUGAUUAAACAUCAAACCUCAAAGCUUGGCAUAAUAUGUGAAAAAUAUAUCUCUGUAUAUAUAAAAUAUAUAUCUUUAUCCAUUCACAAAUUUUGACAACAACAAGGUUGUAAAUUGGAAAUGUACUUGGGAUAAGCAUUAUAAUACUUAAAACUGCUAAUGUUGAAUAUGAUUUUAAAGGCUAUGGUACUGCUGGAUUUGUUAUCCAAAAAUAGAAAGAAGAGUUUUAACAUGACUCAUUUAAAACCUGGGAUAGGAAAAGAUUAAAUUGUUCCUGUUUUGCAUCCCAUUAAGCCAGAUCCUUCAAUAAACCAGUAAAAGAGGUAACAACUUAAAUGAGAAAAUAGUAGAAAUCUUUCAUGAGGCAAUGCACCAUCAAUUCCAAAAGCCCUGAAGUGUGAGUCUAUUUCCCAGCAUGGGUUUAUUCUAUGUUGGGUUCAUUACCUUGUUUCUAAAACAAAAAAAUUCUCUGUGAAAGGUGAGAUAAGAGCCCCUAAUAUUUUAUUGAAAAGCUUGGUGUGGUAGGUAGAAUAAUGACUCACCAAAGAUGUUCACAUUCUAAUUCCUGGUGUUAAGCCUGUGAAUUCAUCAACAUUAUAUAACAGGAGUUAAUGAUUGUAGAUGGAAUCAAUGUUGUUAGUAAAUCGAUCCUAAGGUGGAGGUGGUUUCCUGGAUUACUGAGAUGGUCCAAAGUAGUCACAUGGGUCCUUACAAGUAAAAAAGGAAGGCCAAAAAGUGGGUCAGAGAAAAGUGACAAUGAAAGAAAAGGCAAGAGAGAUGGCAUCACUGAGGAGACCCCAAGACAAUUGGAUGCAGCAACAUUCUGCCAACACCUGAGCAAACAUGGAAAUGAUUGUUUCCUACAGUCUCCAGAAAGAAAAACAAUGUGCCAGCAAGUUGAUUUUAGCCCAGUGAGAGGAUCUUGGACUUCUCACCUCCACAACUGUUUAUGAACAAAGAAACUGAAAAUCUAGCAAUGAAAUAAUUUCUAUAGUAUAUUCAAGAAAUGUGAGUUGUAUAUUCAAGACAGAUGUCUCUUCAGGUUAAGAAAAAGGAUAUAUUCUAUGUGGUGAAGCAACUGUAGAUAUAAAAAUCAUGUUUUAAGAUAGUCCCUUUUGUGUUCUUUACAGGUAAAUAAAGACUGAAUUUUUUGUUUAUAUGACA
rnacentral:lncRNA from 13 species